ensembl:lncRNA
GAUUACAGCACAGCAGGCCUCCCUGUCCCUCACCAUCUCCCUGAGUUCACCAAAGUUCAUGUCCAUUGACUCUGUGAUGCCAUCCAAUCAUCUCUUCCUUUGCUGCCCUCUUCUCCUAUGGCCUUCAAUCUUCCCCAGGAUCAGAGUCUUUCCCAGUGAGUCAGCUCUUUGCAUCACGUGGCUGAAGUCUUGGAGCUUCAGCUUCAGUAUCAGACCUUCCAAUUAACAAUUUAGUGUGGAACUACCUACUUUGAAAUGAAGCUGCAUUCUGAAGUGCUGGGGAUUAGAUCCUCAGUAUAUGACUCUUGGGAAUACACAAUUCAACCCCAAACAGUAUCCCAUUUACAAGCAUGAGAGUUGGAUCAAAAUAUAUGGUGUGUGUGAGGCAUACAAAUUGCAUAUUAGCUGUAUAUAGGCCAUUGUUUUGGUCCAUGAGACAACCAAUAUAUGAAGUCAUCACAUUUUCCAACACACUGAUAGAGCCUGAAAUUCCAAUAUCAUAGGCACCUGACAGAUCUGUGCAUGACACUGAAAAUGCAGGUGGUGCAGUUCGUAAAGAAUCCACUAGCCAAUGCGGGAGACGCAA